AUUCCCGAUGAUGCAUUGCUUCUUCGUGAACCAUGCUAAUGCUGAUCAUUGCAUGACUGAAACAUUAUCCCCUGAGGGAAGA